rnacentral:rRNA from 1 species
UACGGGGGGGGCAAGCGUUGUUCGGAAUUACUGGGCGUAAAGGGCGCGUAGGCGGCCUGCUAAGUCGAACGUGAAAUCCCCAGGCUCAACCUGGGAACUGCGUCCGAUACUGGAUGGCUUGAAUUCGGGAGAGGGAUGCAGAAUUCCAGGUGUAGCGGUGAAAUGCGUAGAUAUCUGGAGGAAUACCGGUGGCGAAGGCGGCAUCCUGGACCGACAUUGACGCUGAUGAGCGAAAGCCAGGGGAGCAAACGGG